rnacentral:rRNA from 1 species
CGGGACGGGUGAGUAACGCGUGGGUAACCUGCCUCAUACAGGGGGAUAACAGUUAGAAAUGACUGCUAAUACCGCCAUAAGCGCACAAAACCGCAUGGUUUGGUGUGAAAAACUGAGGUGGUAUGAGAUGGACCCGCGUCUGAUUAGCUAGUUGGAGAGGUAACGGCUCACCAAGGCAACGAUCAGUAGCCGACCUGAGAGGGUGACCGGCCACAUUGGGACUGAGACACGGCCCAAACUCCUACGGGAGGCAGCAG